CGGGCAUAAACUUUAUUUAUGCUAACGUUAGCAUAAAUAAAGUUUAUGUUUGGCUGAGCCUGCUGUUCGGUGCUUGAUAGUUUGGAAUUUGGUAUCUAAGUUUCAAAUAAUUUGAUCUCACAUAUAUAUAAGAUCCUCAAUGGUAUCUUUAUUUUAUCAAACUAGGGAGGCUUGUGUGCCCUGACAACCUACAAAGCUAUGCUGUUAGUAAUGCAAAAACUAGCAAAGUCACCCAACUUGGAUAGGUGUUCAUUGAUAGGAACCAGACUAAAAGAGAUACCUAGGAGAAGGAAGACUCCAGUUCAAAUCCUGACAAUGGACAGCAGCAUUAUCAGUAUUGACCUGAGGCCAAAGACAAAGUCAAAAGUGUUUAGAAUCGAAUAUUUACAAAUAAGAUCACAGUGAUCAAAGGGUUAUAACACUGCUAUUGAAAAAAAAAAAUAUCACAUUAUGAUCUUAGUAAAAACAACAGUUCCAAAUAGAUAUGGAAACAAAAGAUAUUUAAGGGAAAGGCAAUGGAACCUCUAACUUAGAAGUCAUGCUUGACAUGAGAGAAAAUUAGGUUUCUCAGAUCAUUGGUAAACAAAAUCCUGAUAUGAGAAGAAGAAAGAAAAAUGGAAGAAAUGAUUAAAUUAGGAGUUGUUAGAACAUUUUGGAAUUAGGAAAACUAGAAAAUCUCAAUCAGAAAAUGACCAUUGACAUAUUAAGAUUAAGUGAGACCAGAUAGAAUUGAUCAUGAAGAUUUCUGGAAUGGAGAAUUUAGAAUAAUUCAUUUUGGAAACAAAAGAAAUUCAAGGGUAACUAUUAUUUUGAAUAAGAAAAUAGGACAGUUGGUUAACACAAUAAUUAGAGUGAUAGAAUUUUGUUAGUAACCUUUCAAACAACUUCUAUUAAUCUUAACCUGAUUAUGGUCUAUAUGCCAACAAACCCU
rnacentral:lncRNA from 1 species